UCAGACGGCCGGGCGGCCGCUUCGGUCCAGUGGCGAAAGCCGGGCCGGAGAGGAAAGUCCGGGCUCCACGGAAGGAGGGCGCCGGGGAAAGCCCGGCGGGCCGGUUUGCCGGUCCAGGGAUAGCGCCGCAGAAAACAAACCGCCGCGCCUGGCGCGGCAAGGGUGAAACGGUGCGGUAAGAGCGCACCGCCCCGACCGCAAGGAAGGGGGCACGGCAAGCCCCGCCCGGAGCAAGACCGAAUAGGGAUGGAAGUCCGGUUCGUCCGGACACGCGCCUUCCGAGCGCCAUCCGGGUAGGUCGCUUCAGUCAGUGAGCAAUCACUGGCGCAGAUGAAUGGUCGCCACCGGUUUUUCCCAUGUGGAAAAACCGGCACAGAACCCGGCUUACAGGCCGUCUGACCCC
rnacentral:RNase_P_RNA from 1 species